AGCUCCAAUAGCGUAUAUUAAAGUUGUUGCGGUUAAAAAGCUCGUAGUUGGAUCUCGGCGGGCAGGGGGCGGUUCGUUGUCUGACGUUACUGCCCCAUUUGCUCGUGUUUUUGACGGAGGUUUGAGGGUUCUCUUCAUCGGGUGUCCUCAGGCGCCGUCAGGUUUACUUUGAAAAAAUUAGAGUGCUCAAAGCAGGCUUCAUCGCUUGAAUAUUCGUGCAUGGAAUAAUGGAAUAGGAAGUCGUUUCUAUUUUGUUGGUUUUCGGAAAUUGACUUAAUGAUUAAUAGGGACAGCCGGGGGCAUUAGUAUUCAGACGACAGAGGUGAAAUUCUUGGACCGUCUGAAGACUAACUACUGCGAAAGCAUUUGCCAAGAGUGUUUUCA
rnacentral:rRNA from 1 species